rnacentral:rRNA from 1 species
AUUGAACGCUGGCGGCAUGCCUUACACAUGCAAGUCGAACGGCGGCACGGGUGCUUGCCCCUGGUGGCGAGUGGCGAACGGGUGAGUAAUACAUCGGAACAUGUCCUGUAGUGGGGGAUAGCCCGGCGAAAGCCGGAUUAAUACCGCAUACGAUCCACGGAUGAAAGCGGGGGACCUUCGGGCCUCGCGCUAUAGGGUUGGCCGAUGGCUGAUUAGCUAGUUGGUGGGGUAAAGGCCUACCAAGGCGACGAUCAGUAGCUGGUCUGAGAGGACGACCAGCCACACUGGGACUGAGACACGGCCCAGACUCCUACGGGAGGCAGCAGUGGGGAAUUUUGGACAAUGGGCGAAAGCCUGAUCCAGCAAUGCCGCGUGUGUGAAGAAGGCCUUCGGGUUGUAAAGCACGUUUGUCCGGAAAGAAAUCCUUGGCUCUAAUACAGUCGGGGGAUGACGGUACCGGAAGAAUAAGCACCGGCUAACUACGUG